rnacentral:rRNA from 1 species
UACGUAGGGGGCAAGCGUUGUUCGGAAUUACUGGGCGUAAAGCGCGCGUAGGCGGCUUUGUAAGUUAGAGGUGAAAGCCCGGAGCUCAACUCCGGAAUUGCCUUUAAGACUGCAUCGCUAGAAUCAUGGAGAGGUUAGUGGAAUUCCGAGUGUAGAGGUGAAAAUUCGUAGAUAUUCGGAAGAACACCAGUGGCGAAGGCGACUAACUGGACAUGUAUUGACGCUGAGGUGCGAAAGCGUGGGGGAGCAAACAGGG